GGUGGGCUUGCCCUGCCUGUAGGACACACCCAAACCACUUGUAAUUGCAGUCAGCGUCAGUACACAAUGCUACAUUAUUACAACUUUCAACAACGGAUCUCUUGGUUCUGGCAUCGAUGAAGAACGCAGCGAAAUGCGAUAAGUAGUGUGAAUUGCAGAAUUCAGUGAAUCAUCGAAUCUUUGAACGCACAUUGCGCCCCUUGGUAUUCCAUGGGGCAUGCCUGUUCGAGCGUCAUUUGUACCCUCAAGCUUUGCUUGGUGUUGGGUGUUUGUCCACUGCCCUUGUGCAGGACGGACUCGCCUUAAAACAAUUGGCAGCCGGUAGAUUGGCCUGGANCGCANCACAUUUUGCGCCCCUGGUCGACACUGUUNGGCAUCCAUCAAGACCUCCCUUUUAGCUCUUGACCUCCGAUCAGGUAGGGAUACCCGCUGAACUUAAGCAUAUCAAUAAGCCG
rnacentral:rRNA from 1 species